AUUGCCUCAGUAACGGCGAGUGAAGCGGCAACAGCUCAAAUUUGAAAUCUGGCCCCAGGCCCGAGUUGUAAUUUGCAGAGGAUGCUUCUGGCGAGGUGCCUUCCGAGUUCCCUGGAACGGGACGCCAUAGAGGGUGAGAGCCCCGUCUGGUCGGACACCGAGCCUCUGUGAAGCUCCUUCGACGAGUCGAGUAGUUUGGGAAUGCUGCUCUAAAUGGGAGGUAUAUGUCUUCUAAAGCUAAAUACCGGCCAGAGACCGAUAGCGCACAAGUAGAGUGAUCGAAAGAUGAAAAGCACUUUGGAAAGAGAGUUAAACAGCACGUGAAAUUGUUGAAAGGGAAGCGUUCACGACCAGACUUGGGCCCGGUUGAUCAUCCAGCGUUCUCGCUGGUGCACUCUGCCGGCCCAGGCCAGCAUCAGUUCGCGCCGGGGGACAAAGGCGGCGGGAAUGUAGCUCCCCCGGGAGUGUUAUAGCCCGCCGCGCAAUACCCUGGGGCGGACUGAGGUUCGCGCAUCUGCAAGGAUGCUGGCGUAAUGGUCGUCAACGACCCGUCUUGAAACACGGACCAAGGAGUCGUCUUCGUAUGCGAGUGUUCGGGUGUCAAACCCCUACGCGUAAUGAAAGUGAACGCAGGUGAGAGCUUCGGCGCAUCAUCGACCGAUCCUGAUGUUCUCGGAUGGAUUUGAGUAAGAGCAUACGGGGCCGGACCCGAAAGAAGGUGAACUAUGCCUGUAUAGGGUGAAGCCAGAGGAAACUCUGGUGGAGGCUCGCAGCGGUUCUGACGUGCAAAUCGAUCGUC
rnacentral:rRNA from 1 species